rnacentral:tRNA from 2 species
CGCUCUUAGUUCAGUUCGGUAGAACGCAGGUCUCCAAAACCUGAUGUCGUAGGUUCAAAUCCUACAGGGCGUG